AUUGAACGCUGGCGGCAUGCUUUACACAUGCAAGUCGAACGGUAACAGGCCUUCGGGCGCUGACGAGUGGCGAACGGGUGAGUAAUGCAUCGGAACGUGCCCAGUCGUGGGGGAUAACGCAGCGAAAGCUGUGCUAAUACCGCAUACGAUCUGCGGAUGAAAGCGGGGGACCUUCGGGCCUCGCGCGCUUGGAGCGGCCGAUGUCAGAUUAGGUAGUUGGGGGGGUAAAGGCUCACCAAGCCAACGAUCUGUAGCUGGUCUGAGAGGACGACCAGCCACACUGGGACUGAGACACGGCCCAGACUCCUACGGGAGGCAGCAGUGGGGAAUUUUGGACAAUGGGCGCAAGCCUGAUCCAGCAAUGCCGCGUGCAGGAAGAAGGCCUUCGGGUUGUAAACUGCUUUUGUACGGAGCGAAAAGGCUCCCUCUAAUACAGGGGGCUCAUGACGGUACCGUAAGAAUAAGCACCGGCUAACUACGUGCCAGCAGCCGCCGUAA
rnacentral:rRNA from 1 species